CCUCUAAUCCAACAGAAUUAACCGACUAAGCGAAGGUUAACCCGGUUUUCAUAAAAGCGAACUAAGCGGAAGCAGUGUUAAUGUCAAAUCUAAUUUACAUCAUGCAGUUACAUCGACUAAGCGAGGAUGUAAUACCAACUGGGCAACUAAGCCUAUACCCAAUUGCAAGUGCAAAAAUAGAAUUCACAUUAACCAAGUUAGAGUGCACAGACAAUCACAAUUCAAGAAUCUCAAGGAAACACAACAAUAUCGUUAAUGACCAACCAAACUAAUUUAAGCUACCAUGAAAAUUAAAUUAACACAACUAGAAACCUUAGACAACAUUGAAAUAAAUUAAAAUACUAGACCCCAACAAUGUGACAAACAAGUAUCCAGCAAAGUUAAUUUAAAUUAAAUGCAAAAAUAAAUUAGAGAAACUAAAAAGCGACUAAUCCUACUAUGCAAAUUAAUUCAAAACUAAGGAAUAACCAAACAUGCUUUUUCCUACACAUUCCAUGUGACCAAAUACAUCCAACAAAUGAUUUUAAAAGUGAAAUUGGCCCAAGAAAACCUUCAUGGUCGUGAGUCAUGUAGUCCCCCAAAGUCAACUUCAAUUCAACCUUCAAUAGACUAUUCAUAUGUUGUCUCCUUUUGUCCCAUGUGCCUCAUUCUCCAAGAAAGUGAACAUGUGCCUUCCACACACAAUAAAACCAUGCUCUCUCUCCUACCAUGCAACAAAGAAACGUUCUCUCUCCCUACCAAAACUAAAUUGCCGAACUCACUCCUCUUCCAAGGUUAAAAAAAACGUUGCCUUCCAUAUUCCACACUCCAAAAGGUGCUUUAAUCUCUUCUACCAAGGUGCCACAUGUGCAAAGUCAAAGGGAAUAAAAACAAACACAACCAUCCUCUUCUUCAAUGCAAUUCACGUUAAGCUAGCAUAGGGUCAAGACCAAAAGGGAAAUAUUCUAGCUAUGGUAAAUGUGCUUCAUAUUGUGCAUGGCCAAAUGAGGUAAAAAAUUAAAUGUGCAUUUCUCUCUCCUUACUACACUCAUUUUCAGUUUUCCUCCACCAAACAAGCUUCCAAAACCUUUCUCCACCCUUCCAAACUGAGAAUACACUCAAGAUACCCCAAGGUUUCAAUUGCAAAGUGAAUCAACAACAAAGCUAAGUUCUACUACUACAAACCAACCCAACUCUCACUUUUAAUGAAAACAAAAUGGAAUCCCUAAACCCCUUUGCAAAACCGUCCAGCCCCCAUCAUGAAACACAAUGUCCAGCUAAAAAUAUGAUUCCAAACAUCAAAAAUGAAAUGCAAGAAGAAAGGGUUCAAAACUCAAACACCCAUACACCAACUCAAGCUUCUUUCACUCCAAAACCCAUCAAGAACUUCAUUUUCAUCAUCUAAUCCAAGAAAACCAAAGUAAAUACGAAAAUAUUGCAGCAUAUGAGUAGAAAAACGAAAUAGCUCUUCAUCCAAAACAAAGACCCAUCAUGAAAAUGCAAAGAAACAACCUCAAGCUCAUACUUUCAACUUCAAAAAGCAAGAAACAAAGUGGAAUAUGGGAUAGUUUUCACCACCACCAAGCAAAGACAAUCAAGGUUCAAGCAAGAGAAGAAGAAAAAUAUGAUCUUGGUCAUUCCAUAGCUCAAAG
rnacentral:lncRNA from 1 species